CCUACGGGAGGCUGCAGUGAGGAAUAUUGGUCAAUGGACGAGAGUCUGAACCAGCCAAGUAGCGUGAAGGAUGACGGCCCGAUGGGUUGUAAACUUCUUGUAUAGGGGAAUAAAAUGUUCCACGUGUGGGAGUUUGUAUGUACCAUAUGAAUAAGGAUCGGCUAACUCCGUGCCAGCAGCCGCGGUAAUACGGAGGAGCCGAGCGUUAUCCGGAUUUAUUGGGGUUAAAGGGAGCGUAGGUGGUUUGUUAAGUCAGUUGUGAAAGUUUGCGGCUCCACCGUAAAAUUGCAGUUGAAACGGGCAGUCUUGCGUACAGUAGAGGUGGGCGGAAUUCGUGGUGUAGCGG
rnacentral:rRNA from 1 species